rnacentral:ncRNA from 1 species
AUAUUAUUCUUAUUUGCUAGUGGUAUAGAAAAUGGUGCGGGUACAGGUUGAACUCUUUACCCUCCUGCCGAAUGAUUUUGGGAAUCAUUCAUGUGGGAAAAACUAUCAAAUUCCGGGAACACUCUAGAACUUCUGGUACCAAGCUGUAGUUGAAAAGCUAUAAGUGGAUGAACUAAUCCCUCAUGUAAGGUAAUAAGUCAGAAGGCUUCUGAAAAGAACGUGGGUUAUCGCGGAUCUAAAUCAGCAACAUCCAAAUAUAUUGCUGUAAAAGAGCAACGAGUAUACGGUAGUUGGCCAGGUAGUGUCAUACCUAGCUUAAGAUAUACUCUAACGGGUUCCGAGAGGAAUUA